UUAAAAAUAGACUAAGUUAAGUCAUUGGAUUCAUAAUUCAAAAAUAUAAUUAUUAUUUUUUAAU
rnacentral:tRNA from 1 species